rnacentral:rRNA from 1 species
AUUGAACGCUGGCGGCAUGCCUUACACAUGCAAGUCGAACGGCAGCACGGGAGUAAUCCUGGUGGCGAGUGGCGAACGGGUGAGUAAAGCAUCGGAACGUGCCCAGUCGUGGGGGAUAACGUAGCGAAAGCUACGCUAAUACCGCAUACGAUCUGUGGAUGAAAGCGGGGGACCGUAAGGCCUCGCGCGAUUGGAGCGGCCGAUGUCAGAUUAGGUAGUUGGUGAGGUAAAGGCUCACCAAGCCGACGAUCUGUAGCUGGCCUGAGAGGACGACCAGCCACACUGGGACUGAGACACGGCCCAGACUCCUACGGGAGGCAGCAGUGGGGAAUUUUGGACAAUGGGCGCAAGCCUGAUCCAGCAAUGCCGCGUGCAGGAUGAAGGCCUUCGGGUUGUAAACUGCUUUUGUACGGAGCGAAAAGGCUUCCACUAAUACUGGGGGCUCAUGACGGUACCGUAAGAAUAAGCACCGGCUAACUACGUG